rnacentral:rRNA from 1 species
ACGAGCGGCGGACGGGUGAGUAACACGUGGGCAACCUACCUGUAAGACUGGGAUAACUCCGGGAAACCGGGGCUAAUACCGGAUGAUACAUGUCGUCGCAUGACGAGAUGUUAAAAAGGCGGCAUAUGCUGUCACUUACAGAUGGGCCCGCGGCGCAUAGCUAGUUGGUGAGAUAAAAGCUCACCAAGGCGACAUGCGUAGCCACCUGAGAGGGUGAUCGGCCACACUGGGACUGAGACACGGCCCAGACUCCUACGGGAGGCAGCAGUAGGGAAUCUUCCGCAAUGGACGAAAGUCUGACGGAGCAACGCCGCGUGAGUGAUGAAGGUUUUCGGAUCGUAAAACUCUGUUGUUAGGGAAGAACAAGUGCCAUUCGAAUAGGUUGGCACCUUGACGGUACCUAACCAGAAAGCCCCGGCUAACUACGUGCCAGCAGCCGCGGUAAUACGUAGGGGGCAAGCGUUGUCCGGAAUUAUUGGGCGUAAAGCGCGCGCAGGCGGUCCUUUAAGUCUGAUGUGAAAGCCCACGGCUUAACCGUGGAGGGCCAUUGGAAACUGGGGGACUUGAGUACAGAAGAGGAGAGUGGAAUUCCACGUGUAGCGGUGAAAUGCGUAGAGAUGUGGAGGAACACCAGUGGCGAAGGCGACUCUCUGGUCUGUAACUGACGCUGAGGUGCGAAAGCGUGGGUAGCGAACAGGAUUAGAUACCCUGGUAGUCCACGCCGUAACGAUGAGUGCUAGGUGUUAGGGGGGUUUCCGCCCCUUAGUGCUGAAGUUAACGCAUUAAGCACUCCGCCUGGGGAGUACCGGCCGCAAGGCUGAAACUCACAAGAAUUGACUGGGGACCCGCACAAGCGGUGG